ACAGAGUUGUUAUUAAAUAUCCAAUUUUUUGUAAACGGAAUAUUAAUAUUAAAUCCAAACUUAAUAGUAUAUGCCCUUCGCUUUUUGUAAAAGACAUUUACAAAACAGUUUGCACCUCUUUAGAUUUGAAGAACAAUUUGCACCUCUUCAGAUUUGAAGAAACAGUUGGCACCUCUUCGGAUUUGAAGAGUUGCACCUCUUAAGUUUGAGAUCAACAUUAGUUAUAAAUACCAGUCCAUUCUCUCAGAUUUCCAUACGAAUUUCUGACUUCUCCUCCUUUCUUCUGCAUUGUUUUAACUACAAACAAAGCAACAGUAAGUGUGAUUUGGUACCGAUCUUUGUGUUCGCUGAAACACUGGUGUUUAAAGUAUCGCUACACCAGUGUGUAAUUCAUUCUAUCUUGGGAGGAAAUAAUCUACAACCUUGGGUACUAGGAGGGGAUUAAAUUCCUUAAGAAAAUAUUGUGAAUUCAGUGGGCUCGGAUUAAAUUCUAUUUCAUUUAUAUUUCUGUUUAUAUGUUAUUUUAUCUUCUCCAGAAUUAUUUUACAAAUACAGUUCAAUAACAGCACAGUCAAAUAAAAAAUAUAAAACAAGAAAGAGUCUCCAAAACUGCUCAAGUCAUUGAAUGCGGGGAGCAUUAGAUUAAAAGAUUUAGUAUGAACUUACAUGAUCAGUAAUCUUCAAUUAGAAAUUCAAUAUGAGCUUCACAACAAUUUAAGGUAUCUCACUUACAAAGAUGUUAAGCUUCCCACUAAUGUAUUCAGUGGCUUUUUCAAUUACUAGUGUCAUUGAUCGUCUGAUAACAAGAUACAUGUAGACCUUUUUAAUUUAUACCCCUUCUUUUGCUAGUUUCUCCUAACAUUCAUCUAAAUAUUUUUUAUUUCAUGAAUAUGUAUAAAUCAUUGCACCAAAGCUCACAAUUCUUCAACUAUGGCAUGUCUAGUGUAUUAGUAAAGAAGAAGAAUCAGAAGUCAAUGAACACUGUAAAUGAAAUGAAUGAACUCCAAAAUUUCAUAUGAUAGAGAAAACAAAUAAUGGAUAGGUCUUGAAAUGUUGCUUACUCUAUACCCGUAGUACUGCAAUAACAAGGGUAGUUCCUCCAUGGAAUUAACAUCUUUCAGCUCCAUUGUUGCCUACUCCAUCAGUGGUAAAAAAUUUCUAACAAUAGAAAGAAAGAAUUUUACUAUAAUCUUACUCAAAUUAUCAAACGUAUUCUUCUGACCUAUAUUACAUUAUGUUAAAAUAAUUAGAGUCACCAUUCAUUAACCAUUAGCGCCAUCUCGUAAAUUGUACCAAUAUUUCUUAAAUCGAUAUCAUGCUUAAGUAAAGAUCUGAUAAAUCUAAUGUAGUAUUUUUACUUAAAAAGACUUACUUGUCUGUAAAAUGAAGAUUCAUUCAAAAUGAGCGGAUUUUACCCACCAAAGCUCAAGGGUAAUGACAAUAUAGACAGAGGCAACUGUUAAUGAAUAUAUAUUGUAACUGGCUAGCACAAGAGUAAAAGAAUGAUAACACCAAGAGAACAGAAUGGAACCUUAAAGAAAUUUGGUAUGACCAACUGAAUUAAAAUAUAACAAGUAGACCAAGACAAAAAAUAAUAUUUUACAGUUGGCAACAUAAACCAAACUAUUAGCUAAGUUAUCAACAAUUAAAAGGACAAUCAAAUAGAGCUAGAGCAAAAUUUUAGAACUUCACACUUUUGCCCCCAACACCUUGCUUCUUCCCCUCCCAUCCCAUACCCUCCCCUGCCCCCUCCCCUGCCCGAACCAUGAAGACACAGAAGGUACAGUCUAGUAGCACGAGUACCCCAAAUGAUAUCAAGCAUCAACCUAUUCCUACUAUAAAGAGACUAAUUUUACCCCGCAAAACUACAGAAGCAACCAUCGUUCAAACAAAGUGGUGUACAAACUAGAGAAUAUCAGAAUCUAAUUAAUUAGAUUACUCGCACAAUGAGACUAUAAUAAAGAAAGGACCAAAAAUCUCAAGCUUCACCCAAACUGUAUGACUCUAUUGUACCAAAUUAUGACACUUACACUAGAGUCAUCAUCUCCAUCUAGUUCUCAAAGAUAUUCAAGAAAGGAUGAACAUAUACUUAUCUAAUAAGAGAAUACCAAAAAGAGUAUCUCUAACUAAAAUCACUACACUUCCCCAACGCCCAGCCAUGACAUUAACCAAAAAUUCUAGAUCUUCAUUAUCGCAAUUGGCCCAAGAGAUCUUGGUCUCAAAAAGUUGAGAGUCCUAUCAUCACGAGUUGUAGGGUGAGUAAUUUCUAAGAGGAAACAAUACAAACCUAAAUGCCCCAAAAAAGGUAAUAAAGGACGAGUCCGCCAACUCCCAAAAUAUAUAACCAGAUCUGAAAAAAAAUUGGAAUUUUAUUUCGAUCUUUUCUGGGUUUAGGGAAAGUAGGCUUUUUCACAUAUGAUUUACCCAUUUUUUCUCUCGCUGGUAUUCCAGAAAUAGCAUACGAAUUUAUAAUCGGCAAACCCUCGCCACUGUUUCAUAAAUAAAUCACAAAAAUCACAAAAUAUACAUCAUUUAUAAAUUACAUAGAAAAACUAUUUUAACUAGGAAAAAAGAAGAAGAAUUUUUUUGAUAGAUAAGGACUUACAUUUCUUUUGUAGUUUUCGUGCCUAACUCAUCGGCCAUGGAACCAAUGGAGAUCGGAUUUCUAGAAAGUUUUCGUAGAUAUCACCUCCGGAACAAGAGGGCUUACAUGGGUUAGUAGCAUGAAUUAUUAGAUCGAGUAUAUCGAAAAGGGUUUAGGGAUUUGAAGAACCAAAUUUUG
rnacentral:lncRNA from 1 species